AGAGUUUGAUCCUGGCUCAGGAUGAACGCUAGCGACAGGCCUAACACAUGCAAGUCGAGGGGCAGCGAAGAGGUAGCAAUACCUCUGUCGGCGACCGGCGCACGGGUGAGUAACACGUAUGCAAUCCACCUGUAACAGGGGGAUAACCCGGAGAAAUCCGGACUAAUACCCCAUAAUAUGGGCGCUCCGCAUGGAGAGCCCAUUAAAGAGAGCAAUUUUGGUUACAGACGAGCAUGCGCUCCAUUAGCCAGUUGGCGGGGUAACGGCCCACCAAAGCGACGAUGGAUAGGGGUUCUGAGAGGAAGGUCCCCCACAUUGGAACUGAGACACGGUCCAAACUCCUACGGGAGGCAGCAGUGAGGAAUAUUGGUCAAUGGUCGGCAGACUGAACCAGCCAAGUCGCGUGAGGGAAGACGGCCCUACGGGUUGUAAACCUCUUUUGUCGGAGAGUAAAGUACGCUACGUGUAGCGUAUUGCAAGUAUCCGAAGAAAAAGCAUCGGCUAACUCCGUGCCAGCAGCCGCGGUAAUACGGAGGAUGCAAGCGUUAUCCGGAUUUAUUGGGUUUAAAGGGUGCGUAGGCGGCACGCCAAGUCAGCGGUGAAAUUUCCGGGCUCAACCCGGAUUGUGCCGUUGAAACUGGCGAGCUAGAGUGCACAAGAGGCAGGCGGAAUGCGUGGUGUAGCGGUGAAAUGCAUAGAUAUCACGCAGAACCCCGAUUGCGAAGGCAGCCUGCUAGGGUGCGACAGACGCUGAGGCACGAAAGCGUGGGUAUCGAACAGGAUUAGAUACCCUGGUAGUCCACGCAGUAAACGAUGAAUACUAACUGUUUGCGAUACAAUGUAAGCGGUACAGCGAAAGCGUUAAGUAUUCCACCUGGGGAGUACGCCGGCAACGGUGAAACUCAAAGGAAUUGACGGGGGCCCGCAC
rnacentral:rRNA from 1 species